rnacentral:misc_RNA from 1 species
GAAAUGCGAUAAGUAGUGUGAAUUGCAGAAUUCAGUGAAUCAUCGAAUCUUUGAACGCACAUUGCGCCCUUUGGUAUUCCAAAGGGCAUGCCUGUUCGAGCGUCAUUUGUACCCUCAAGCUUUGCUUGGUGUUGGGCGUCUUGUCUCUAGCUUUGCUGGAGACUCGCCCUAAAGUAAUUGGCAGCCGGCCUACUGGUUUCGGAGCGCAGCACAAGUCGCACUCUCUAUCAGCAAAGGUCUAGCAUCCAUUAAGCCUUUUUUCAACUUUUGACCUCGGAUCAGGUAGGGAUACCCGCUGAACUUAAGC